GACGAACGCUGGCGGCGUGCUUAACACAUGCAAGUCGAGCGGUAAGGCACCUUCGGGUGUACACGAGCGGCGAACGGGUGAGUAACACGUGAGUAAUCUGCCCUUCACUUCGGGAUAACCGCCGGAAACGGUGGCUAAUACCGGAUACGACGCGCUCUCGCAUGAGAUGUGCGUGGAAAGUCUUAUCGGUGGAGGAUGUGCUCGCGGCCUAUCAGCUAGUUGGGNGGGUAACGGCCUACCAAGCUUCGACGGGUAGCCGGUCCUGAGAGGGUGACCGGCCACACUGGGACGUGAGACACGGCCC
rnacentral:rRNA from 1 species